UACGUAGGGUGCAAGCGUUGUCCGGAAUUAUUGGGCGUAAAGAGCUCGUAGGCGGUCUGUCGCGUCUGCUGUGAAAACUCGGGGCUUAACCCCGGGCCUGCAGUGGGUACGGGCAGGCUCGAGUUCGGUAGGGGAGACUGGAAUUCCUGGUGUAGCGGUGAAAUGCGCAGAUAUCAGGAGGAACACCGGUGGCGAAGGCGGGUCUCUGGGCCGAUACUGACGCUGGGGAGCGAAAGCGUGGGGAGCGAACAGG
rnacentral:rRNA from 1 species